rnacentral:rRNA from 1 species
AUGACGUCAAAUCAUCCAUGCCCCUUAUGACCUGGGCUACACACGUGCUACAAUGGUUGGUACAACGAGUUGCGAGUCGGUGACGGCGAGCUAAUCUCUUAAAGCCAAUCUCAGUUCGGAUUGUAGGCUGCAACUCGCCUACAUGAAGUCGGAAUCGCUAGUAAUCGCGGAUCAGCACGCCGCGGUGAAUACGUUCCCGGGCCUU